UGGGGAAUCUUAGACAAUGGGGGAAACCCUGAUCUAGCCAUGCCGCGUGAGCGAUGAAGGCCUUAGGGUUGUAAAGCUCUUUCAGCUGGGAAGAUAAUGACGGUACCAGCAGAAGAAGCCCCGGCUAACUCCGUGCCAGCAGCCGCGGUAAUACGGAGGGGGCUAGCGUUGUUCGGAAUUACUGGGCGUAAAGCGCACGUAGGCGGAUCAGAAAGUCAGAGGUGAAAUCCCAGGGCUCAACCUUGGAACUGCCUUUGAAACUCCUGGUCUCGAGGUCGAGAGAGGUGAGUGGAAUUCCGAGUGUAGAGGUGAAAUUCGUAGAUAUUCGGAGGAACACCAGUGGCGAAGGCGGCUCACUGGCUCGAUACUGACGCUGAGGUGCGAAAGCGUGGGGAGCAAACAG
rnacentral:rRNA from 1 species